rnacentral:rRNA from 1 species
UAGGCGUAAAUGAUACUCGCUAGGUGUCAGGCAUGGCGCGACCGUGUCUGGUGCCGCAGGGAAGCCGUGAAGCGAGCCACCUGGGAAGUACGGCCGCAAGGCUGAAACUUAAAGGAAUUGGCGGGGGGAGCACAACAACGGGUGGAGCCUGCGGUUUAAUUGGACUCAACGCCGGACAACUCACCGGGGACGACAGCAAUAUGUAGGCCAGGCUGAAGACCUUGCCUGAAUCGCUGAGAGGAGGUGCAUGGCGUAGACGUCU